GACGAACGCUGGCGGCGUGCUUAACACAUGCAAGUCGAGCGGAGCGGCGAACGGGUGAGUAACGCGUGAGUAACUGCCCCCCCCUCUGGGAUCACAGUUGGAAACGGCUGCUAAUACCGGAUAGUGGGGGAUGACUCGCGUCCUAUCAGCUUGUUGGUGGGGUGAUGGCCUACCAAGGCGGUGACGGGUAGCCGGCCUGAGAGGGUGACCGGCCCCAUUGGGCGGAGGGACGGCCCAGACUCCUACGGGAGGCAGCAGUGGGGGAUAGUGCACAAUGGGCGAAAGCCGGAUGCAGCGACGCCGCGUGGGGGAUGAAGGCUUUCGGGUUGUAAACCUAUUUCGCUAUCGAAAGGGUAGGUGGAGAAGAAGCGCCGGCUAACUACGUGCCAGCAGCCGCGGUAAUUC
rnacentral:rRNA from 1 species